GACGAACGCUGGCGGCGUGCUUAACACAUGCAAGUCGAGCGGUAAGGCCCUUUCGGGGGUACACGAGCGGCGAACGGGUGAGUAACACGUGGGUGACCUGCCCUUAGCUCUGGGAUAAGCCUGGGAAACUGGGUCUAAUACCGGAUAUGACUCCAUGACGCAUGUUGUGGGGUGGAAAGCCUUGUGCGGCUAGGGAUGGGCCUGCGGCCUAUCAGCUUGUUGGUGGGGUGAUGGCCUACCAAGGCGACGACGGGUAGCCGGCCUGAGAGGGCGACCGGCCACACUGGGACUGAGACACGGCCCAGACUCCUACGGGAGGCAGCAGUGGGGAAUCUUGCGCAAUGGGCAAAAGCCUGACGCAGCGACGCCGCGUGGGGAUGACGGCCU
rnacentral:rRNA from 1 species